GAAGUAUAACAAGCAUGGCAGCAGGACUUGUUAUUGUCUCCUCUGUCAAUCUAGUUGAAUCUGCAACCAUCUUAUGCUUUUGAUAGCAUCGUCGUUUUACUCUUUACACGAUGUCAAUAAACCUGUGGACAAUGGACAGCUGUCUUCAGAGUCGUGAUGUCACUAAAGAGUUAUCUAACUGCCAAGUAGUAUCCAGCGUUCAUAUACCGAGGGCAGUACAGUGACGUUGCAUCGUAAAGCGGAAGUAAAGCCGAAGUGGGACAUUAUAGACCCGCCCUCGCAUAGACCCAACAAACGACUGUCGACAUUAGCAGACAAAUGAGGAUGUUUUCUUCAUACGUUUCCGGAAACCAAAAACCCAUUCACGUUUCAUAUACAGUAAACAUUAUGUUGGGUUGGCAUGGUCUUUCAGAGGACAAAGAGCCUUCGACACAAAGCCAUCUCUUUAACUGAACAUUUUUAUGUUCUUCCACAUCUUUGCCAGUCAAAUUGGCACCAGGCACAUCAUUUUCGGAGAGAAUUGGUAAGUUUAACUCUGUAAACAUCUCCUUCGUACACGAUUUCCAUUCAUUUCCUCUUAGGGACAAACGGUGGCUUGUCCCUACUUAGCAACAGUAGCUAAUGUCAUGAAUAUUAAUGAGCGGAAGUGACGUGUUGCUUGCGGUACGCCAUUGCAAAACCUACUAAUUGCAGAACGAUUUAACUAUCUAAUGUGAUUGCAAUCAAAUAAAAAUAUACACAGAUACACACUUCAACUAGGGCACACAUCUCAUGCAUCAAAGAGUUUAAUAAUAUUGGAAAACUUAGAGCAUAACUGUUUUCAUCGAAUUCUGCAGAUAGUAAAAGUACAAUGACAACUUAGUAUGAUUGAGUUGUUAACAAAUGCUCUUUUAAUAGUAUAACUUCUUUUACACGUAAGUCUGAACUAAAUAAGCCAUUGGAACACCAUAGUUAGUUAGAAAUGUUGAUGUGGGUCGUGUUAUUUAAACAACCGUAGCGAGGGUAACUUGCUAAGGAGUUGCGUUUGGUUAUUUCACUACGAAACCAGAAGAGGCUUCUGGACCUCUCCUUUGCUCUUUCUUGCAUAGUAGGCAACAACAAUAGCUAACAUUAGGACUGACAACGAGCACACACUACCAAAGAUUGCAGUGCUGAAAUUGGUACUGAGCAUCUUCUUCAUUUCAAGUUGUCCUCCGUUCAAAAUGUUUUCUCCUGUCAAAAGACAUGAAUGAAGAUGUUAGAUGAUACAGUAAACAGGUAGGAGCAUACAGGAGGUAGCUCCUAUCAUGCACCUGGAAUAGGUGCGUCAUUCUUCUUCAGUGCAUCAUUGUCGUCCAUCUCUGAUUUCUUUCUCACAUCUACUUCGAUCAUCUGAACAUCUGCUACCUUCAGCAAACCGUUGUCGUGUUGUACAGCAGCACUGGGAAUAGCCUCAGCGAUGAAUUGAAAAGGACCCUGGGUCAGAGAUUGCACGGAGGCCUGCUUGCCCGUUGCUCGUCUGCGUCGACGGAACUGCUCGUCCAGACAACCCAUGGCACAUCUGGAGAAGGGAUCAGUGACGUCGCACAUGAGGACCGUGCAGGUGAUGUAAACCUGUAAGACGAAAUAAAUGCAAUAUGGAAUUGUGGCUUCCGUGUCAUUUUUGGGAAUAUUGGUGCCAAGAACUAUGUUGAAGUGAGUUGAGGAGCUUCAUGUAACUUUUGUUUGUGGCCUUAAAAUGAUCUUCAUGUGUGAAACCGCUCCAUUGUUGCUUAAUUUAAACAAUUGGGUUUCAGGAGCCGUUAAUGUCAGAUCACCGAAUAGCAUUUUUUCCCCUCAUGAUUUAAUAACAAGGGCGCAGGUUUGCAUAGGGACGGUAGGGAAAUGGUAGGGGCACUACCAACUUUUCAGUAUGCUCAAAUUGUCCCCACCAACUUUUACGGAACCUUAUUUGCAUUAUAUAAUGACUUCAAUUGUAUAGGUAAUUUAGACUGUCUUCCCAUGUUGUAAGGAUAGAAUUAACCCGACCAUUACUAAGUAAAUCAAAGUAC